GACGGAGGGUGCUAGCGUUGUUCGGAAUGACUGGGCGUAAAGGGCGCGUAGGCGGUUUGUCGCGUCUGCCGUGAAAGUCCGGGGCUCAACUCCGGAUCUGCGGUGGGUACGGGCAGACUAGAGUGAUGUAGGGGAGACUGGAAUUCCUGGUGUAGCGGUGAAAUGCGCAGAUAUCAGGAGGAACACCGAUGGCGAAGGCAGGUCUCUGGGCCACUACUGACGCUGAGGCGCGAAAGCUAGGGUAGCAAACGGG
rnacentral:rRNA from 1 species